AACCCAUGGUAAGGGCACCUUCUCAAUAGGUCUUUGUAUCUCUCCCAUGCACUAGAGAGUGUCUCUAGAUCCAUCUGUACAAAAGAAGAGAUAUCGUUCCUCAAUUU
rnacentral:snoRNA from 1 species